CUCGAGACCUUCAUCUUGCUAAUCUCAUCGUACCUGCUCCAUCCCAAUUUUCCGGCUAUUUUCAACUGCUUCCAACCGUCUCCGAUCUCAUUCUGCUGUCUUUUAAGGUCUGGACUCAUGGCAUCAAGUUCUCGCAAUGGUUUAUCUUCUGGGGUUUGAAUUGAUGGGGUCUUGGAAUGCUAUCCACAUGGACAUCAUGGAGUAGAUAAGGAUUUAGGUCGUCUACAUGGCAGAUAGACUUGGUAAAUACCCUUACGCUAAUAUUGGCCUUAACAAGAGUUGAGAUGAAACUAGAUGGUCCAAAUUUGCCGAUAGAUUGACUCAUUGACA